UACGAAGGGGGCUAGCGUUGCUCGGAAUCACUGGGCGUAAAGGGUGCGUAGGCGGGUCUUUUAAGUCAGGGGUGAAAUCCUGGAGCUCAACUCCAGAACUGCCUUUGAUACUGAGGAUCUUGAGUUCGGGAGAGGUGAGUGGAACUGCGAGUGUAGAGGUGAAAUUCGUAGAUAUUCGCAAGAACACCAGUGGCGAAGGCGGCUCACUGGCUCGUUUCUGACGCUCAGGCGCGACAGCGUGGGGAUCGAAACAGG
rnacentral:rRNA from 1 species